GGACAGGGCUGGAGAGAUGGCGAGGCAGUAGAGUCCUCUGGGAAAAGGAAAUCCCAACUGAGAAAAUAUCUCCAUCACAUGAGACUGGCCUGAAGUCCUCACACCGUUGGUUGGCCGAGGACAUGCUGAUCCUAUUUUCAGUGCCUGCCAGAGAAGGUUGCCAUAGCACAUUGGAAUGACUUUCUGGACAGCCCCAGCGUCUACUGGAUCCAGGAGAGGUGUUGAAAGGCUGUGACAAACGACCAACCUGGCGGACUGUACAAGCAGAGCCUAGCUUAUCUGAGAGGGACUUCCCACCCUCCCAUGCUCUUAAAAUGACAUUUGCUGUUGUGCAGACUCACUUGGGUGGGUGGGGGUGAGAGAUCUUUACCUCAAAUUUAUUGGCAGUUACCACCACUGUGCCAAAGAAAGACUCUAAAAGGGAUCCAAAGAAUUAACCAAGUAUCUUCCUUGUGAGGCACUAUGGCAGAGAAGCUUGGAGAACCUGACCGUCGAGUGCUCUUGGAUGCUCUGUCUCAGUCCAGCUUAAAUAAAAGGAACUAUUACUAUUAG